rnacentral:lncRNA from 1 species
GCAACCUCUGCCUCCUGGGUUCAAGAGAUUCCCUUGCCUCAGCCUCCUGAGUAGCUGGGACUACAGGCACCUGCCACCACACCCAGCUAAUUUUGUAUUAGAGAUGGGGUUUCACCAUGUUGGCCAGGCUGGUCUCCAACUCCUGACCUCGUGAUCCACCUGCCUCAGCCUCCCAAAGUGCUGGGAUUACAGGCAUGAGCCACCGCGCCUGGCCUGUUUUAUUUUUUGUUUUGUUUGUUUGUUUUGUUUUGUUUUCAGAGAUAGGGUCUGGCUUUGUUUUCCAGGUUAGGGUGCAGUGGUGCGACCAUAGCUCACUGUAGCCUCAAACUCCUGGGCUCAAGCAAUCCUCUCGCCUCAGCCUACCAGGAACUGGAACUACAAAUGCAUGCCACCAUCCCCAGCUAAUAUUUUUCCUUUUUGGAAAAAUGAAGUCUCACUAUGUUGCCCAGGCUGGUCUCAAACUCCUGGGCUCAAGUGAUCCUCCUGCAGUGCUGGGAUUACAGGCAUGAGCCACUCUGCCCGGCCAAUCUCAGAGAGUUUUGAUGAAGUUACAAAAUUCUGACCAUGGAGCCAGAACUCAAAUCUAGGGACUUCGGCAGAGACAGAGCCCCAGCAGCCUCCACCCGUCCCCUCGUGUCGGCCUUGCUCACCCACGGAUGAGUCAGUUGGAAUGUUUGGACAUCCCAGCUCAGCGGCUGUGGUACCAGGAGCUGUCAGGAGGCGGGAAUGCAGAGAAUGUGGCUCACUGUGCUCCCGCCCGCCCAGGCUGAAUCCGCAGAGAGGUUUGGAAGAGGAGACCUACGGCUGAUUCACAGGAGCCUGCCCCCGGCAUCACCCCAGCUGACCCACUGAUGCACCCCGUCUGAAAUCCACGGAGUUGCAGGCAUGCCUGGAAGACCCCGAGCAUUUAUUCAUCUCUUCCUCCUUCAGUCAUUCGCACAGUCAUUCUUUUUAUGGUUGUGUUUUUCCAAUCUUUAUGAUUUUUUUUUCCAAUGGCAAAAGUAAUCUAUUGAAUAUUAGAUUCAAAAGGAAUGAAAUUCUGAUAUAUGCUCCCAUGUGAGUGAACUUGAGGAUAUUAUGUUAAGUGAAAUAAGCCAGACACAAAAGGACAAAUACUGUGUGAUUGCACUUAUACGAGUCAAAUUUGUAGAGACAGAAAGUAGAAUAAAUGUUGCCAGGGGCUGGGGAAGGGGAAAGGGAGAGUUAGUGUUUAAUGGGGACAGAGUUUCACUGGGGAAGGUGGUGGUAGCGGUUGCAACAUUGGGAACGUACUUAAUGCCACCGAACCAUACACUUAAAAAUGGUUCAAAUGGAACAUUUAAUGUCACGCGUAUUUUACCGUAAUAAAGAAAAACAAAAAGUGAUCUAUUGUUCAAACAAUAUAUAAAAGAUAAAACAUAAAAGUAGAUGACUGGGCUCAUAAUUACCCUCAUUUCUCACCCUGUUACCAGUUUGGAAUAUCUGCUUUCGAACCUUUUAACGUCCCCACGCAAUCGUGUAUGUGUGGGCAAAUAUAGGCCCUGAGGGAGGAAGGGAAUGUGAUCUCCAGGUGCCAGACACAUGCUCCUCAUCCCUGUCUCUUUGAAGGACAAUGUCAUGCCUGCAUCCCCAGGUGCCCAGUGGCAAGGUCGCGCAUGAACAAUCACCGCCAUCCAGCGAUGUCUUAGAGGUGUCUGGCUCGGUGCUAAGCCCUUUCACAUGCAUGAGCUCAAUCCUUACACCAGCGUCGUGAGGAAGGUAUAUCUUGAUGCUCACUUCAAAGUCCAUUUCAAGGCCAGGUGCAGUGGCUCACCCCUGUAAUCCCAGCACUUUGAGAGGCUGAGGCAGGAUUGCUUGAGCCCAGGAGUUCAAGACCAGGCUGGGCAACAUAGUGAGACCCUGUCUGUAAAAAAUUAAAAAUUAGCGGGGCAUGGUGGUGGUGGUGUGCUCCUGUAGUGCCAGCUACUCAGGAGGCUGAGGUGGGAGGAUCACCUGAGCCCAGGAGUUCGAGGCUACCGUGAGCCAUGAUCACAGCACUGCACUCCAGCCCAGGCAACAGAGUGAGACCCUGUCUCAAAAACAAAAAACAGUCCAGGCUGGGCUCAGUGGCUCACGCCUUAUAAUCCCAGCACUUUGAG